rnacentral:rRNA from 1 species
UACGUAGGGUGCAAGCGUUAAUCGGAAUUACUGGGCGUAAAGCGUGCGCAGGCGGUUAUGUAAGACAGAUGUGAAAUGCCCGGGCUUAACCUGGGAACUGCAUUUGUGACUGCAUGGCUAGAGUUUGGCAGAGGGGGGUAGAAUUCCACGUGUAGCAGUGAAAUGCGUAGAUAUGUGGAGGAACACCGAUGGCGAAGGCAGCCCCCUGGGUCAAGACUGACGCUCAUGCACGAAAGCGUGGGG